UACGUAGGGUGCGAGCGUUGUCCGGAAUUACUGGGCGUAAAGAGCUCGUAGGUGGUUUGUCGCGUUGUUCGUGAAAACUCACAGCUUAACUGGGGGCGUGCGGGCGAUACGGGCAGACUGGAGUACUGCAGGGGAGACUGGAAUUCCUGGUGUAGCGGUGGAAUGCGCAGAUAUCAGGAGGAACACCGGUGGCGAAGGCGGGUCUCUGGGCCGAUACUGACGCUGAGGAGCGAAAGCGUGGGGAGCGAACAGG
rnacentral:rRNA from 1 species